rnacentral:rRNA from 1 species
UAGGGAAUAUUGGACAAUGGGCGCAAGCCUGAUCCAGCCAUCCCGCGUGAAGGAUUAAGGUCCUAUGGAUUGUAAACUUCUUUUCUUUGGGAAUAAAAACUCCAACUUGUUGGGGCUUGAAGGUACCAGAGGAAUAAGCACCGGCUAACUCCGUGCCAGCAGCCGCGGUAAUACGGAGGGUGCAAGCGUUAUCCGGAUUCACUGGGUUUAAAGGGUGCGUAGGUGGCUUUGUAAGUCAGUGGUGAAAGCCCGGAGCUCAACUCCGGAACUGCCAUUGAUACUGCUUAGCUUGAAUCAGGUCGAGGUGGAUGGAAUAUUACAUGUAGCGGUGAAAUGCUUAGAUAUGUAAUAGAACACCGAUUGCGAAGGCAGUUCACUAGGCCUGUAUUGACACUGAGGCACGAAAGCGUGGGGAUCAAACAGG